AACGAACGCUGGCGGCAGGCUUAACACAUGCAAGUCGAGCGCCCCGCAAGGGGAGCGGCAGACGGGUGAGUAACGCGUGGGAACGUACCUUUUGGUUCGGAACAACUCCGGGAAACUGGAGCUAAUACCGGAUAAGCCCUAACGGGGAAAGAUUUAUCGCCGAAAGAUCGGCCCGCGUCUGAUUAGCUAGUUGGUGAGGUAACGGCUCACCAAGGCGACGAUCAGUAGCUAGUCUGAGAGGAUGAUCAGCCACACUGGGACUGAGACACGGCCCAGACUCCUACGGGAGGCAGCAGUGGGGAAUAUUGGACAAUGGGCGCAGGCCUGAUCCAGCCAUGCCGCGUGAGUGAUGAAGGCCUUAGGGUUGUAAAGCUCUUUUGUCCGGGAAGAUAAUGACUGUACCGGAAGAAUAAGCCCCGGCUAACUUCGUG
rnacentral:rRNA from 1 species